rnacentral:rRNA from 1 species
GAUGAACGCUAGCGGCAGGCUUAAUACAUGCAAGUCGAGGGGCAGCAGGGUGUAGCAAUACAUUGCUGGCGACCGGCAAACGGGUGCGGAACACGUACACAACCUUCCUUUAAGUGGGGAAUAGCCCAGAGAAAUUUGGAUUAAUACCCCGUAAGAUUAUGAGAUGGCAUCAUUUUAUAAUCAAAGCUCCGGCGCUUGAA